UACGGGGGGUGCAAGCGUUACUCGGAAUCACUGGGCGUAAAGAGCGUGUAGGCGGUUUGAUAAGUUGGAAGUGAAAUCCUAUAGCUUAACUAUAGAAUUGCUUCCAAAACUGUUUAACUAGAAUGUGGGAGAGGUAGAUGGAAUUUCUGGUGUAGGGGUAAAAUCCGUAGAUAUCAGAAGGAAUACCUAUUGCGAAGGCGAUCUACUGGAACAUAAUUGACGCUGAGACGCGAAAGCGUGGGGAGCAAACAGGAUUAGAAACCCCGGUAGUCC
rnacentral:rRNA from 1 species